UAGAGAAAAGAAUGGUGAUCACGGUGAUAUAAAAAUUGCAUCGAACGGAGGCCGGGAAGGGCCUCGUCGGAGGCAAAAAACGAGAGGGGGCGCGGCGGCGCCGCUGGGCUUCGGCCGCGUAUUCCGGCCGUUUGGCCGGGAUUUCGGCCUCGAUUUGGCCAUAGGAGGAAUCAACGGGGAAAAACGAGUCGGGGGUAUGAAAUUUACCUCGAUCGGCGGUCGGAAAUUUCCCCGGUGCGGCGGCGAGUGGCGGCGGGUGGCGGCGGUCGGCCUCUGGUUCGUCUUCUCCGGCGAGCGGCUAGCGGCUAGGGUUUUUGGUCUGGUGUGGGGGUUCUAUUUAUAACCCCUUGCCUUUUGAUCACAGCCGUUCAUUUCGUUUUAAUCUGGGCCGUUCGUUUUUG
rnacentral:lncRNA from 1 species